rnacentral:lncRNA from 1 species
UUAAUUUAUUGAUUUUAAUGUCAAUCUCUAUGAAUCCUCUGAUUCGUCUUUUCAAAUAUAAAUUCAAGGGCUUAAAGCUUGAUUUUGAAUUUGAACUUGAUUUGAAUGCUUUGAGGGACUUGAUCUUGACUUGUGCUUGAAUUUAAGGGCUUUUGAACUUGUUCUUGAGGGACUUGAUCUUGACUUGUGCUUGAAUUUAAGGGCUUUUGAACUUGUUCUUGAAUAUUGCGGUCUUGAUCUUGAAUCUUGAUUAACUUAAUUUGAAUGCUUGAGCUUUUUAGCUUUCUUCUUGUUAGAGUUCUGGGAUCCCUCUUUCUGAAUUAUAACACCCCUAUUUAUAAUUGUGGAAAAGGAAGAAUCACAGUGAAGAUGAACUUUCGUGGAGCCUUUUAAGGGCUUUGAUUUUAUUUGGCCUGCUGCAUUAUUUUGACAUGUGGCAAUAUCCUAUUGGCUCCUUCACUUGACUUGACAUACUGCGUCAUUUGACACGUGUCAUUUAUUUGGACCUGUAGAAUAUGAAAAUAUCUUGGACUUAGCAAAGUGGGCUCAUCAUUUAUAGCCCAAAUCAAUGGGCUAGCCCAAUAAAAAAUGGACUUUAAUUAAAUCCGUAUAUGUUUGGACUUAAAUAAUUAAUCCAAUUAUAUUAAUCCGCAAUAUUUAUUUGGGACUAAUAUAUUUUGAAUUUAAUAUAAUCCAAAUUUUAUACGGAUUUAAAUCUUCAAAAUUGCACCCACGGAUUUCUCUUCUGAUGAAUUAAUUAUAGCAUUCUUCUAACAGAUAUUGAUGAGUGUGCAACGAAUCCUUGUGAUGGAAUUUGCACAACCACUCUAAGAGGGUUUCCGUGUUCCUGUCUGAAGGGAUAUUUUGGUGAUGGCCAGAAGGGGGGAUAUUUUGGUGAUGGCCAGAAGGGACGUGGUUGCCAGAAGGAGCAUGAUUUCCCCGUCUUAAAGAUAUCUCUUGGUAUGUAAACACAACUACGAUGCAUGAAAUUUCAAUUUUAUCAAACAAUAGAUAUGAAAAUAAACAUCAGAUAAUAAUAUGGUUAAAAAUAAUAUAUUCAAGCUCAAAAUCAUUAGCCGCAAGUGCCAAAUUUCGGUAGUUCGAGUCUUUAUUGCAAUCAUUAAGUUUGUUUGAUUUUUUAUGUCUGGUCUUUAAUCAUUUUCUACGUAUGUUCUUUUAAUUUUACAAUCAUUUAAUGAAUCUGAAUGAUUAAGAUUUGUUAAAAAGUCUAAAUAUCAACCAGAUAUACAUUCAUCACUACAUCAUUCACUUUACUGUUAACCGCCGCUGCCUACCAAUAUUAACUAGCAUCACCAAUAACCACCAGCACCGCCAAUCACCACAAUCAACCAUCACAACACUAGACACUAAUUACGAUCAUCUCUAAGAACCACCAUUUCAGCAACCACCAACAUUACCAAAAAUCACAAUCAACCACCACUAUAUAUCGUCAACCACCGUCAUCAUUCACCAUUACCACUUAACUAUUACUAUCAUCCACCUCAAUUAUUAGUCGUAACCGCACCAACUACCACCACCUUUAACUGUUAGAACAAGCACAGCGGAAGCAAUAAUUCUACAGGAUCAAUAACUUACAUAAUAUCUCGAUAAUAUAACCAAAAUGAGAAUCAGAAAACUUACCUCUUGAAGCUUUCACAAAAUUCGUUCAACGCUUUGUUUUCCAGGACUGCGAUCUUCUACCACAACUGAAUUAAUCUUUUUCAAUCAACACUUGAGUGGCAAGUGAUUAUCUUUCAGAAAAGAAGAUCAUCUUGAAUCAAAAAACCAGUCCCUAUUUAUUCCCAAUCUUUAAUGAAGAGGGGAAGAUAAAGGGGCAAAACGUUUUUGCCCUUAUUGCUAUCAUUAUGUCAUUAAACGUUUUUGCCUUUAUUAUGGGUUUAAUACCCAAAACAUUUUUGGCCUUAAUGCAGUCAUUAAACCUGAUUUUUAAUUCAUUCUCUCCUUAUUAAUAGAAGACCCGCAAUUAAAAUAAAAUCACUUCUUCUAUAAAG